UGGUUCUGGCAUCGAUGAAGAACGCAGCGAAAUGCGAUAAGUAAUGUGAAUUGCAGAAUUCAGUGAAUCAUCGAAUCUUUGAACGCACAUUGCACCCUCUGGUAUUCCGGGGGGUAUGCCUGUUCGAGCGUCAUUGCAACCCUCAAGCAUUGCUUGGUAUUGGAUGCCACUGCUGUGGUGCAUCUCAAAAGUAUUGGCGGUGGCAUUCAGCUUCUAGCGUAGUAAAUCUUCUCGCCUUGGAGUUUGAGUGUCUAACUGCCAGAACCCCUAAAUUUAUCAAAGGUUGACCUCGGAUCAGGUAGGGAUACCCGCUGA
rnacentral:misc_RNA from 1 species